rnacentral:rRNA from 1 species
UACGGAGGGUGCAAGCGUUAUCCGGAUUUACUGGGUUUAAAGGGUGCGUAGGAGGGCAGGUAAGUCAGUGGUGAAAUCUCCAAGCUUAACUUGGAAACUGCCGUUGAUACUAUCUGUCUUGAAUAUUGUGGAGGUGAGCGGAAUAUGUCAUGUAGCGGUGAAAUGCUUAGAUAUGACAUAGAACACCAAUUGCGAAGGCAGCUCGCUACACAUAUAUUGACUCUGAGGCACGAAAGCGUGGGGAUCAAACAGG